UCGCCAAAUGGUUUGGAAUCAGAUCUGGCUCCCUGGGCCUCAGUUUCCCCAUCUGUACCACAGGGAGAUGAACCCGGUAGUCUCCGAGGUCCUUCCAGCCCUGAUAUCAGGAGACGAGAAGCUUCGCCGUGUGAACAGCAAACAGCCUGUUGUCUGGGUUCCUCUGGCCUGCUCCGUCACGGGGAGGCUCCCCAUAAGAUGCUGCGUCCUCUGAGACGGAAGCCCUCGGAGCCUCGGGCUGUUGAUUUGGAAGUGGUCCCAGGGCCAUGGGGCAACAGGAGAGCACCCCUGGGGCUCUUUGGGCAGGAGACACAGGGAAACUACAGGAGGGAAAAAGGAAAGAUGGAAGCCACACCAAGGAGGAGAGAGAAGCUUUCGAUGAUGAACCAAGAACGUCAUAGAGUUGGAAUCCUACAGUAUGUAGCCUUUUCAGAUCGGCCUUGUUCACUUGGUAAUAUGCAUUGCUGGGAAAGCUGUAUGAGGUCUGGAGCGCGGGGCAUCCCGGGAUCAGCUCCCUGCUGCCACAACCCCACUGGUGUUAUUAGUAUCCUCAUCAGAAUGACGUCUUUUCCAGCAGCUUGUUUCUAGCACGUUUCUGAGUUUCUACAGCCCAUCCAGAUCUAGGCCCCUGGUCACAUCCCAGAGCCACCCCCACCACAGACACAAGGCCCCUCAGUGCCAGGCCCCCUUGGUGGAUCUCAAAUGGUUUUGCAUAAGCCCCACCCCACAUAAGGCAGCAGAAGCAGGCUCUUACCCUAUUCGGCAGAUGGGCAGGCUGUGGCUCAGAGAAGCUGAGUGGCUGGCAUAAAAUGGCACAGGAUCUCCUCUACAACCACCUACAACCACCCUCCAUACAGCAAGCCCCUCAGCUUCCCUUUCCACCCAAAGGUCUGGCUCCCACUCUUGGAUGAAGAGAAGGAGCGUCUGAACCCAAAAUUCCUUACAGCACAAUAGACAACUGAAAAACAACUCAACAGAAUUUUAAUUAUUCACAGAAAACGUGUACUGUGUACAAGGUAUUGAUCAAAGAACUUUAUAAAUACUAACUCAUUUUCUCCUUAUAACUACCUUAAUGAAGCAGGUACAAUUAUUAUCCCCAUUUUAUAGGUGAGGAAACUGAGGCAGGGAGAGAGUAACUGGCCCAGGGCCACACAGCUAGGAGGCCAGAGAGCCGG